rnacentral:rRNA from 1 species
AGAUUGAACGCUGGCGGCAGGCCUAACACAUGCAAGUCGAGCGGUAGAGAGGUGCUUGCACCUCUUGAGAGCGGCGGACGGGUGAGUAAUGCCUAGGAAUCUGCCUAGUGGUGGGGGAUAACGUUCGGAAACGGACGCUAAUACCGCAUACGUCCUACGGGAGAAAGCGGGGGACCUUCGGGCCUCGCGCCAUUAGAUGAGCCUAGGUCGGAUUAGCUAGUUGGUGAGGUAAUGGCUCACCAAGGCGACGAUCCGUAACUGGUCUGAGAGGAUGAUCAGUCACACUGGAACUGAGACACGGUCCAGACUCCGUACGGGAGCAGCAGUGGGGAAUAGUUGGACAAUGGGGACGAAAGCCUGAAUCCAGCCAUGCCGCGUGUGUGAAGAGGUC